rnacentral:rRNA from 1 species
UACCAGACUCCUACGGGAGGCAGCAGUGGGGGAUAUUGCACAAUGGGGGGAACCCUGAUGCAGCGACGCCGCGUGGGUGAAGGAGCGUUUCGGCGCGUAAAGCCCUAUCGGCAGGGAAGAAGGAGGACGGUACCUGACUAAGAAGCCCCGGCUAACUACGUGCCAGCAGCCGCGGUAAUACGUAGGGGGCAAGCGUUAUCCGGAUUUACUGGGUGUAAAGGGGGCGCAGACGGCAGUGCAAGUCCGGAGUGAAAGCCCGGGGCUCAACCCUGGGACUGCUCUGGAAACUGCAAAGCUGGAGUGCGGGAGGGGCAGGCGGAAUUCCUGGUGUAGCGGUGAAAUGCGUAGAUAUCAGGAGGAACACCGGCGGCGAAGGCGGCUUACUGGACUGUAACUGACGUUGAGGCUCGAAAGCGUGGGGAGCAAACAGGAUUAGAUACCCCCGUACGG